rnacentral:rRNA from 1 species
AGAGUGAACGCUGGCGGUAGGCCUAACACAUGCAAGUCGAACGGCAGCACAGUAGGAGCUUGCUCUUACGGGUGGCGAGUGGCGGACGGGUGAGGAAUACAUCGGAAUCUACCUUUUGGUGGGGGAUAACGUAGGGAAACUUACGCUAAUACCGCAUACGCCCUUCGGGGGAAAGCCGGGGACCAGCAAUGGCCUGGCGCUGAUAGAUGAGCCGAUGUCGGAUUAGGUAGUUGGUGAGGUAAAGGCUCACCAAGCCUUCGAUCUGUAGCUGGUCUGAGAGGACGACCAGCCACACUGGGACUGAGACACGGCCCAGACUCCUACGGGAGCAGCAGUGGGAAUUUGGACAAUGGGCAAAGCCUGAUCCAGCCAUGCCGCGUGCAGGAUGAAGGCCUUCGGUGUAAACUGACUUUUGUACGGAACGAAAGUCUACUUUACUAAUAAGAGGAUCAUGACGUACGUAAGAAUAAGCACCGACUAAC